rnacentral:rRNA from 1 species
AACGAACGCUGGCGGCAGGCUUAACACAUGCAAGUCGAACGCGUGUAGCAAUACACGAGUGGCGCACGGGUGAGUAACGCGUGGAUAUCUGCCUUUUGGUUCGGAAUAACCCCGGGAAACUGGGGCUAAUACCGGAUGGUUCCUUCGGGAUAAAGAUUUAUCGCCAAAAGAUGAGUCCGCGUACGAUUAGCUAGUUGGUGAGGUAAUGGCUCACCAAGGCGACGAUCGUUAGCUGGUCUGAGAGGACGAUCAGCCACACUGGGACUGAGACACGGCCCAGACUCCUACGGGAGGCAGCAGUGGGGAAUAUUGGACAAUGGGGGCAACCCUGAUCCAGCCAUGCCGCGUGAGUGAUGAAGGCCUUCGUGUUGUAAAGCUCUUUUGGCGGGGACGAUGAUGACGGUACCCGCAGAAUAAGCCCCGGCUAACUUCGUGCCAGCCGCCGCGGUAAAAC